UUCACAUUUUUCCGUUGAAGCAUUUCUUCAAACACUUGUCAACCUAACAAAUUCAAACACACACGCACUGUUUUGUUGCUUAAUGGAAAUAACUCGUUUCCCAUUUCUUAAUCAAGAAGAAGACUACUCCCAUUUAUUAGAUUUACUCCCUGAAAUGGAGAGUAGAAGCACCUUCAUCAACAACAACAACAGCAGCAACAAUAAUAAUAAUAAUAACAACAAUUUGAAGAAGCGGCGACGAAGCGACGACGUAUUAAACAAGGGUGCCGCGUGGAGUGAUAUACUUACCUCACUAAUCUUGUUGGACGAAGAAGAGAAACGCGAGCAGCAACAAUAUUCUAUCCACUCUCACCAAGAUAAACUCCUCGUCGAUGACAAUCACAAGCGAAAGGAACAAGCAAUGAACGAUUAUUUCCAUCAAUUGCAAGACCAUUAUACCGAUUUGGAUGUAAUGGAUCAGUUGAGAACGAACAAAAGAUCUCGUCGUACGGCUUCGGCUGUCGCCACUGUUGCAGCGUCAGCAUCCGCAUCCGCAUCCGUGUCGGAAGACGCGUCUGCGGAUAACCCGACUACUGCGGGUGGGUCCGCUCAGCACCGUCGUUUGUGGGUCAAAGAUCGGU
rnacentral:lncRNA from 1 species